CUUGCAAUUCAGGACAUGCACUACAAAGCCAGCCUGAUUGCAGUAGCUCGGGUCCUUAUUCUAGCAUACCCGGAAGCUACACAGACGGAGAGAGAGGGACAGAAACAAACAGACAGAGAGUUCAUCCAAAACAUUGUACAAUAAUCGUCACUUAAAUUAAACAUGAAAGCUUGUCUGCAUAUUCGUUAUACCAUACCAACCUGUUAAUGAAGUAUCUCUUAGGUUCUUCCAAGGAUCUCUUGGGGGGGAUUGCAUUCACCACAGCAGCCUAACUCCCACGGCCUGAGGAUGAUGUCUACCAGCCUGAGGAUGAUGUCUACAAUCCUAACUCCCACGGCCUGAGGAUGAUGUCUACCAGCC